UGACUCUAAAUGUCAUACUUUCACUGGUGAAAAGAGGAUGUCAUUAAUUAAUGACACUUUUCUUUACUAUCUUACAAGCAAGCUGCCAUAUCUCUCAGUUCAAUCAAAGGAAGCUCUCCAGUCUGGCUGCUGAAAAUAUUGACCACAAGCUUUCUCCAAGCAAAUGAAUACUUUCACAUGUUGGUUUCCUUCUCCUUUGCUGGAGUGUGAUUCAAUACCCAGAGGUGAAUCAUCGUUUUGUGAAGCUAAGGGAAUCCAAUGUCUGCUCCUGAAAGUGAACCACAAGCUGUGUCUACCACUGAAGUCUGGCUGAAAGCUGAGGGUGAACUGAAAUCAGCAUCCAGGCAAAGUUACUGUGAGUAAAGUUCAGCCAGCCUGCAUGACAAAAGCGCCUUUGAGCACCAAUUAGAUGCCAAGCCCCUGCUGGAGUCCAGGGAUGUGAGAGUGAAUGAGCCCCAGACACUGCUCCAGAAGAUCUUAUAACCUAGUUGAAGAGAUAGUUAUGUAAAUAAAUAUCAACAAAUUCCAGUGCUGUGGCUUAAUUCUAUGCAAGGUGUUGUGGGAGCACAGGAGAAGGAUGUGCCACUCAUACUGUACUGGACAAUGAAUACAGUGCUGGAGCUGAGCCUGGGAAAAUGCGGGGAGAUUUCUCACCUCCUGAAAGGGAGCCUGAGGGGAAUGGAGUAGCUUGAGAAAAGUCAUGACUCGACAAUGUCAGUGUAUCACUGUUAAACCGAGGAGCUGGGAUGUUGUAGGAGACGAAACAGGUGAGGCUCUCAGGGACAAGGCAGUGAGCAGAUGUGUGCCGGAUGGGAAGCUUGAUUUUUAGUCGACAAAUGAGGAAGCGCAGAAAAAAACCAUCCAAAGGCAAAGCUGGCUUCUUGCCGAAACUGUGCACGGCUGUCUCAGGCCUGAUAUCUGCACCCCAUACCCUUCAGAGGCAGAAGGGUUUCCUAAGCAAAAGUCCCAAAACUAAUCCAAGCUGCACUAGUUUGGGUCACAUCGCCAUUCUUAAAUUAAAUAUCAUGACCAAGACACAUGUCUCACCCGAAAGGCAGGUAAGUAGCCAGCUGCUUCAAAGACCAUGGAUCCCCAAGCAGAAAUAAAAGUAUUUUAAGUAGAGGACAUGGGAAAGUUGAUUCUUCUGGGGCAACAGGCAGGUGUCUGCCACCUGUAGUGCAAUCCCAGUCAGCUUUUGGUAAAGAGGACAAGCAGUGAUUUCGCACUUUGGGUUGUAAAGGCAAAUUCAUCUGAAUUUAAAAAACAAACAAAACAGAAACCUUCUUCCGAAAUUUGUCACACAGUUUUCUUCAUUUCAUUUUAUUUUUCUCAAUUUCAGAGAUAAAACAUCAUCAGUGAGACAUGCCAGCUAACAUAUACCGACUUGGUAUGAACCGGGCUUCUUUUGUUUUUGCUUCUUUUACUUAUUUAAUUUUUAACAUUUUAGAAACUUAAAACUUAAGCAACUAAAGCAGACUCAAAGUAGCUGUUUUAUUCUCUACCUUCCUUGUCUGAUUAUGAUACUGUUAUCUUCCCUCUGAAAAAUAGAUAUUUGCUUUAUCUUAUUUGAAACUAGCCUGAGUUCCUGAACAAAGUACAAAUAUGUAAUAACCAUUUUUUUUGACAGAGAUUGGCUUAAAAGACACUGAUAGUUAAUGAAGAAAUGAAGAACAUCUCCGAAAUGAAUCCAGCUGCGUCAAUAUGGACCACCCUAGAAACUAAACCAAUUUGUGUGGUUUAUUCUUGUCCUCAAUCCAAUUUUUAACCCUUGAAGAAACUACUCAUCACAAAAGAAUCUCAGUUGCCAUUUUGGGGACUAAUUUUGUAUGUCAAACCGCUAACUUUCCCCUUUAUUCUAUGCUAUUCUUAGCCCAAGGUUGCUUGACGUUCAAUAAAUAUUAAAUGUAGCAAUAAUAAUGAUGAUGAUGACCAUGUAAAUAAAUAAAAAGAAAUAAUCCUUUAUAAGCCUUUUCAGAUUGUCUGCAUUUAUGAUUUCAGAAUUAGAGAAAAGUCAUUUCAUGGGGUCAAGUGGAAUGUCUUUUGCCCUCUUUAGAUGUUGUUAACUCAUGUUCAAUUUUCCAAAGUCAAAUGUACAAAGUUCUAAUGGAGUAAGAUAAUUCCCCAGUAAGCACACUGUCCAUCUGUAAACCAUAUUUAUGGUAUUUUUAAAGGUGAAAACAGCAUAUUUGUCAUGUGUAGCUUCAAAUGGAAUUGAAUAUUCUUUCUUGUACAAACCUCUAUUAAAAGAAGUCUUAAACUCAUAGGCAUUAUGAGUAUUCCUUUGGAUUGUGAGUAUUUCCACAAUAGCCACAGCUUAUACAUGUAUGUUACCUGCCUGAGCAUAAAGUCUGACACGUAGUGGGUGCACAUUAAACAUUUGUUAAAUAAGAAAUGUUUUAUUUUUGUUUUUAUUUUGGCUUCCCAAAUGUGAAAGCUGAAUUUGUGCAUGUUCUCCCAGCUGGAGAAAGCAGGUUAAUAAGCACUAUUAUAGUGAGUACAAUUUAAAGCAGUGAUUACAAAUUAUUUCUGUUUUUCAUGCCAAGCCUUGUGUUUAAGAGUAGGAUGGGCAUGCUGCGAUUGAUUAGGAAUGCCUGCCAUGAAGAGAGCAUAGUGGAACAGCAGCACUGAGCCAGACAGCUGCCAUCCAGAUAUAAAGGUAUCUCCCCCACAACAGAGGGAUGGGCUUGGCAGAGAAGACAUAGGAGAGCAAAUGUCCCAUUGGUGUAUUUCCCAGCACCAGAAAAGCUUAGCAACGGACUCCAUUAAAAAGUAAGUAUGCAAAUUGCAUUUGUUGAGAAUUUGCUUAUAAUUUCUUUUCUAUGAAUGGACUAAAUCUUCAGCAAAUAUUCAAGACAUACAAACACAUGGCCCAGAGUUAUUUGAGGAUUUUCAGAAUUUGAGAAAAAAUUCCAACCAGGCAAUAAUUGAAGUUCCACUAUUAUGAAUGCAUUGAUUUUUGUAAAUUCAAGUACAGGCCUCUUUCAUUUGAAAUAAAAUAAACCAGAUUGCUGUCCACCCUUGGCAUUUUACAGUUGACAGAACAAGCAUUGAACUCCUGCUAGGCCCAAAAAGACAAACUAUAAAUAGUAGCCAAAAAUCACCCCAAACCCACUUCAUGACUAACUGGAGUAUCUCGUCUUCUGGGGCUAUUGUUUGACUUGGUGACUCUGCAGAUAUCUUCCAUUUGCCCAUCCAUACCCUCUGCUCUUAAAUAGGAAGCUGGCCUCUUGGGUAACACAACUGUCUCCGGUACUCCUCGGCCACCAACUGAGGUCAGCCAAAAGAAGC
ensembl:lncRNA